rnacentral:rRNA from 1 species
UACGUAGGCAGCGAGCGUUGUUCGGAGUUACUGGGCGUAAAGGGUGUGUAGGCGGUUGUUUAAGUUUGGUGUGAAAUCUCCCGGCUCAACUGGGAGGGUGCGCCGAAUACUGAAUGACUUGGAGUGCGGGAGAGGGAAGUGGAAUUCCUGGUGUAGCGGUGAAAUGCGUAGAUAUCAGGAGGAACACCGGUGGUGUAGACGGCUUUCUGGACCGUAACUGACGCUGAGACACGAAAGCGUGGGUAGCAAACAGG